rnacentral:rRNA from 1 species
CGAACGGGUGAGUAAUAUAUCGGAACGUGCCCAGUAGUGGGGGAUAACUGCUCGAAAGAGCAGCUAAUACCGCAUACGACCUGAGGGUGAAAGGGGGGGAUCGCAAGACCUCUCGCUAUUGGAGCGGCCGAUAUCAGAUUAGCUAGUUGGUGGGGUAAAGGCCUACCAAGGCAACGAUCUGUAGUUGGUCCGAGAGGACGACCAGCCACACUGGGACUGAGACACGGCCCAG